ensembl:lncRNA
CUUUCCUUAAGCGUCUUAAACCUGGAACAUACAGUUGGUCAAGUGAUGAAACUUCUCCAUCUCCUUAAACCACUUUAUGGAUCUCUGCAUCAUAAAGGAAACACGCUGUAUGCUUCCAUACAAUACCACACCUCUAGAAGCCACACUGAAUUUAAGGAGAAACCCUUCUCUUUCCUGGGUUGCUUGCACCAAGCUGCGCAAAUCCUGAUGGCCUUAAGCACGCCAACCUGGUCCCCGUGGAGCUACUCACAUCCUGAGUUAUGCAGAGCAGAAAUUAAACUAUACUCCAAAAGGCUUGCUUCAAAACCCAGCAGUAAGGCUAAAGGCCUCAGUAUCACCUGUUAUCUGAGGGAGAAUAGCUGAAGGAAAAUGUUCCCGUCGUGUUCUCAAGACUGAAAAGCAAAGAUGUGCUGGAGCCCAAUAACAACAAUCG